UACGUAGGGGCUAGCGUUAUCCGGAAUUACUGGGCGUAAAGGGUGCGUAGGUGGUUUCUUAAGUCAGAGGUGAAAGGCUACGGCUCAACCGUAGUAAGCCUUUGAAACUGAGAAACUUGAGUGCAGGAGAGGAGAGUAGAAUUCCUAGUGUAGCGGUGAAAUGCGUAGAUAUUAGGAGGAAUACCAGUUGCGAAGGCGGCUCUCUGGACUGUAACUGACACUGAGGCACGAAAGCGUGGGGAGCAAACAGGAUUAGAUAUCCGGGUAGUCCCUGAG
rnacentral:rRNA from 1 species